AUGAAAAUGAAAAAACAUUGUAGACUUUGGUGGCCAAGGUCGCUCUUACCAAACCAAGAAUCCUCCUCCAGUGUUUUAUUGGGGUGGUUUGUCACCUGCUCACCGUCAUCCCUUGACAUUGUUGUAGCCUUUGCUUGUAGUGAAGUUUUGAUUUCGAGUUCUAAUCCCGCCAUUGAGGGGAUCAUUCAUGACAUACACGGGAGCAUGCCCGCAAUUCUUCAGGAUAGAAGGAAGUACAAGUGCACACAAAAAUAA